rnacentral:rRNA from 1 species
UACGGAGGGUGCAAGCGUUAUCCGGAUUUACUGGGUUUAAAGGGUGCGUAGGCGGGCAGGUAAGUCAGUGGUGAAAUCCUUGAGCUUAACUCGAGAACUGCCAUUGAUACUAUCUGUCUUGAAUAUUGUGGAGGUAAGCGGAAUAUGUCAUGUAGCGGUGAAAUGCUUAGAUAUGACAUAGAACACCUAUUGCGAAGGCAGCUUACUACGCAUAUAUUGACGCUGAGGCACGAAAGCGUGGGGAUCAAACAGG